AUGACAAGCUGCCGCUGGUGGUGUUCGACCGCAUCCUUCGCCGUCAGGUGGUAUACGACGCGCUCAAGCACGGGGGCAGGGCGGUUGGCGCUCGGCACCGCUUACUGCACCUUGUCACCGCCGCACAGAUGCAGCAGCUCCCCACAGCCGCACAGAUCCGGCAGCUUCUCACCGCCACAGAUCCUCAUCCCGCAGCUCCUCCUACUCCAGCAGCUCCUCCGACGGUAA
rnacentral:rRNA from 1 species